rnacentral:lncRNA from 1 species
GUAUAGAUGCAGAUAGGUUGUAUGGAUGCAGAUAGGUUGAAUGGAUGUAGAUAGGUUGUAUGAAUGUAGAUAGGUUGAAUGGAUGCUGGUAGAUUGUAUGGAUGCAGAUAGGUUGUAUGGAUGCUGGUAGGUUGUAUGGAUGCAGAUAGGUUGUAUGGAUGCAGAUAGGUUGUAUGGAGACUGAUAGGUUGUAUGGAGGCUGAUAGGUUGUAUGGAUGCAGGUAGGUUGUAUGGAGACUGAUAGGUUGUAUGGAGGCGGAUAGGUUGUAUGGAUGCAGGUAGGUUGUGUGGAUGCAGAUAGGUUGUGUGGAUGCAGAUAGGUUGAAUGGAUGCUGAUAAAUUGCUCAUGAGCCAGUGGAUACCCC